AUUGAACGCUGGCGGCAGGCCUAACACAUGCAAGUCGAGCGGUAGAGAGAAGCUUGCUUCUCUUGAGAGCGGCGGACGGGUGAGUAAUGCCUAGGAAUCUGCCUGGUAGUGGGGGAUAACGUUCGGAAACGGACGCUAAUACCGCAUACGUCCUACGGGAGAAAGCAGGGGACCUUCGGGCCUUGCGCUAUCAGAUGAGCCUAGGUCGGAUUAGCUAGUUGGUGGGGUAAUGGCUCACCAAGGCGACGAUCCGUAACUGGUCUGAGAGGAUGAUCAGUCACACUGGAACUGAGACACGGUCCAGACUCCUACGGGAGGCAGCAGUGGGGAAUAUUGGACAAUGGGCGAAAGCCUGAUCCAGCCAUGCCGCGUGUGUGAAGAAGGUCUUCGGAUUGUAAAGCACUUUAAGUUGGGAGGAAGGGCAGUAAAUUAAUACUUUGCUGUUUUGACGUUACCGACAGAAUAAGCACCGGCUAACUCUAUG
rnacentral:rRNA from 1 species